AUUGAACGCUGGGGGGAUGCUUUACACAUGCAAGUCGAGCGAGUGGCGGACGGGUGAGUAAUAUAUCGGGAGUGCCCGGUAGCGGGGGAUAACUACUCGAAACAGUGGCUAAUACCGCAUACUAUCGGAUAACCCAUAUGGGAUUAGCUAGUAGGUGGGGUAAUGGCUACCCUAGGCGACGAUCCCUAGCUGGUCUGAGAGGAUGAUCAGCCACACUGGGACUGAGACACGGCCCAGACUCCUACGGAGGCAGCAGUGGGGAAUAUUGCACAAUGGGCGCAAGCCUGAUGCAGCCAUGCCGCGUGUAUGAAGAAGGCCUUAGGGUUGUAAAGUACUUUCAGUCGGGAGGCGUUACCGACAGAAGAAGCACCGGCUAACUCCGUGCCAGCAGCCGCGGUAAUUC
rnacentral:rRNA from 1 species